rnacentral:rRNA from 1 species
AGGGUUUGAUCCUGGCUCAGAAUGAACGCUGGCGGUAGGCUUAACACAUGCAAGUCGAACGGAAACGAUAAAGAGCUUGCUCUUUAGGCGUCGAGUGGCGGACGGGUGAGUAACGCGUGGGAAUCUACCCUAUAGUUGGGGACAACAUAUGGAAACGUAUGCUAAUACUGAAUAUGCUCUACGGAGUAAAGGAGCCCUCUUCUUGAAAGGUUUCGCUAUAGGAUGAGCCCGCGUUAGAUUAGCUAGUUGGUAAGGUAAAGGCUUACCAAGGCGACGAUCUAUAGCUGGUUUGAGAGGAUGAUCAGCCACACUGGGACUGAGACACGGCCCAGACUCCUACGGGAGGCAGCAGUGGGGAAUAUUGCACAAUGGACGAAAGUCUGAUGCAGCCAUACCGCGUGUGUGAAGAAGGCCCGAGGGUUGUAAAGCACUUUCAAUUGGGAGGAAGAUUAAGUAGUUAAUACCUACUUAGUUUGACGUUACCUUUAGAAGAAGCACCGGCUAACUCUGUGCCAGCAGCCGCGGUA